GCAGGAACCGGCGAACGGGUGCGUAACACGUAUGCAACCUACCUAUAACUGGGGGAUAGCCCGGAGAAAUCUGGAUUAAUACCCCAUGGUACCUAAGAAUCGAAUGGUUUUUAGUUUAAAGAUUUAUCGGUAAAAGAUGGGCAUGCGUCUGAUUAGCUAGUUGGCGGGGUAACGGCCCACCAAGGCGACGAUCAGUAGGGGUUCUGAGAGGAAGGUCCCCCACACUGGCACUGAGAUACGGGCCAGACUCC
rnacentral:rRNA from 1 species